UGGGGAAUAUUGGACAAUGGGCGCAAGCCUGAUCCAGCAAUGCCGCGUGAGUGAUGAAGGCCUUAGGGUUGUAAAGCUCUUUCGCACGCGACGAUGAUGACGGUAGCGUGAGAAGAAGCCCCGGCUAACUUCGUGCCAGCAGCCGCGGUAAUACGAAGGGGGCUAGCGUUGUUCGGAAUUACUGGGCGUAAAGGGCGCGUAGGCGGCCUGUUUAGUCAGAAGUGAAAGCCCCGGGCUCAACCUGGGAAUAGCUUUUGAUACUGGCAGGCUUGAGUUCCGGAGAGGAUGGUGGAAUUCCCAGUGUAGAGGUGAAAUUCGUAGAUAUUGGGAAGAACACCGGUGGCGAAGGCGGCCAUCUGGACGGACACUGACGCUGAGGCGCGAAAGCGUGGGGAGCAAACAAGAUUAGAUACCCUGGUAGUCCACGCCGUAAACGAUGAAUGCUAGACGUCGGGGUGCAUGCACUUCGGUGUCGCCGCUAACGCAUUAAGCAUUCCGCCUGGGGGAGUACGGCCGCAA
rnacentral:rRNA from 1 species